AUCCAGUUGACGAGUCCCGAAUAAGACGAAACAUGCGUUCAGGAU
rnacentral:hammerhead_ribozyme from 1 species